rnacentral:rRNA from 1 species
ACUGAGAACCGAAGGUCGAAGGAAGAAAUUCAUUCGCGAUCUGUUGCCGGCGAAUAGAUGUAUGUUUGACGAACAAUAGAGAUAGAUGUGUGUAUCAUUCGCAAGGGUGAUCGCACGUUUGUUAUGUUGAACGCUACGUACGUUUAUCGAUCCUGGGUAAUGAACGUGUGCAUUUUUCUUCUGGUAGGACGUCGUGAUCCGUUGGGUUUCCAUGUCGGUCUACGGCGAUAAGGUAAAUAGGCCCACUGGUACGGUAGACUAUUUUGUUUUAUCGUUAUUACCGGUGGAUUUACCCGAUCUGAUCGACUUGCCCGACGGUAUGCAAACGGUUAAAGGUCGCUAAAACGGGGGGCUGUUUUCGUUCGCGCGAGAAUAGAACUUUUGAUGCGUUAGAAGCGUUGGCAAGUGCCGUUAUCUUYGAGUCUGUUAAUCGAGGUUCGUCCUUGAUUACGAUUUAAUAACAGGUACUGUUGGCCGCGUGUGUCUAUUAUUUCUAACGGACCUGCUGAAAUUUAUUCGGUACCGAUCUACGACGCYACAGCUUUGGGUAAUUUCAGGACCCGUCUUGAAACACGGACCAAGGAGUCUAGCAUGUGCGCAAGUCAUUGGGUUGUUUGUUGUGAAACCCAAGGGCGUAAUGAAAGUAAAUAUCGGAGACCUAACGGAGGUGUGUGUGGGAAGGUGGGCGUCUCGGUGCCCGUUUUUUCUCAUCAUCUUUGUBUUGUUUCUGAAGGAAGGAUGGACACAACGUUUGACGGUUGCUAGACCGCCGCAUGCGCGCACGCUUCCACAAACUAGAUUUUUCUGGUUUGUGGUGGUUGUUGUUGUUGUYGUUGUUGAUGUUUCGCAUUUCCGGGGCGUUUCAUAUUCUUGUCCGUUUCCCUUUUCGAAGGGAGAUGGACGAAAAGAGGCGCACCAUGAGCGUACACGCUGGGACCCGAAAGAUGGUGAACUAUCCCUGGUCAGGACGAAGUCAGGGGAACCCCCGAUGGAGGUCCGUAGCCAUUCCGACGUGCAAAUCGAUCGUCGGAAC